rnacentral:tRNA from 2 species
UCCGAUAUAGUGUAAAGGCUAUCACAUAGCACUCUCCAUGCUGGAAUCCGGGUUCAAUUCCCGGUGUCGGAG